rnacentral:rRNA from 1 species
CCUACGGGAGGCAGCAGUGGGGAAUAUUGGACAAUGGGCGAAAGCCUGAUCCAGCCAUGCCGCGUGUGUGAAGAAGGCCUUCGGGUUGUAAAGCACUUUCAGUGGGGAAGAAAGCCUUGGGGCUAAUACCCUCGAGGAAGGACAUCACCCACAGAAGAAGCACCGGCUAACUCCGUGCCAGCAGCCGCGGUAAUACGGAGGGUGCGAGCGUUAAUCGGAAUUACUGGGCGUAAAGCGCGCGUAGGCGGUCUGAUAAGCCGGUUGUGAAAGCCCCGGGCUCAACCUGGGAACGGCAUCCGGAACUGUCAGGCUAGGGUGCAGGAGAGGAAGGUAGAAUUCCCGGGGUAGCGGUGAAAUGCGUAGAGAUCGGGAGGAAUACCAGUGGCGAAGGCGGCCUUCUGGACUGACACUGACGCUGAGGUGCGAAAGCGUGGGUAGCAAACAGGAUUAGAUACCCUGUAGUC